GCUAAUGUGAGCCGGUUGGCGCUGAAAGUCGUCGACUGUGUAGAGGUUUUCCAAAGCGAAGAAAUCGCGCAGCUUUCGAUAAAAAAAACGCCGACGACUUCUCGCGUACUGGAGCAAGCCGACGGUCACCGUCACAGCAAGCCAGCCAACUUGUUUUAAAGUGCAAAAGAAAUGUUUUUCGUUUGUUUGUUUAGGUUGCCAGCUGGACGAGCCGCGACGAAGCUACCGUGAAUGCAGAGUGAGAAGCAACUCCGGCGAAAUACAUUCUGCGUGGAUCCAGAGAGCGGAGCGGACAGUCAUGUCUACCUCUCCUCCUCCCAGAGAGCUCCCCGACCAGGAAGUUGCUCCAGAGACGUCACUCCCAACCAACCAAAACAGCAAACGUUAGCUCCGCCCCCGACCGAAGGCUCCGCCCUUCGCCACUCUCCAAUCCUCCCCACGGACUCUGAGGGUGGACAGACUAGCAGCUCAUAUUUCCAAGGUGGAAUAUCCAAGUGGAGCGAGGCGACAAGGUGCCAAGUUGGUAAUGUUCCCCAAUAUUUGUGAACAUCACUGCAGAAGACAAAUCUUCAGUUGACAGUCCCCUUUCUAAAUUUAGUUGUAUCAUGUGUACAAUGACAGAAUAAAGAAUUUUAUCAAAAUCUGUCAAUCACGAAUGAUGCUAACUUCUAUUUACCCUACAUCUUUAAAACCACCAUCCCCCCACACAAACACACACACAUUUCUCUGUUUAUAAGGAUGCAACUAAAUGAAAGAAGUGCAGACAUCUGCUGGAUCCUCUCAGACAAGAUGAUCGUCUCUUAGUCCAUCCAGCUUUGCCUCACCAUCAUUCAAACACUGAAUAUUGCUACUUUCGAUAACUGCAUCAGAUAUCACACUCACCUACUGCUAGACUCUGAGGGAUUAAAGCAAGUUUGUCUAUUCUGAUCUACAGAGGAUUUACUAUCUAUGGCAUAUGUUUGUCCCAGCCUUACUUCCUUCACGUUGAGUAGCUGCACUCACAGCUGCUCUUGACUGCCUGCUUGGCUACUUCCUCAUCAUCGUACAUCAGUGGACCUUGGAAUAGCCUCGGAAAAAAAUGAAUCUACAUACUACUUUAGUGAGGUACAAAACAUCAGUGUCUAUUCUGUUCCUCUCAGGUCUCUUGUCGGUAUCAAUCAAAUUUCAACCUUCACCCUCCUGCCACACAAUAAAGUGUCCAUGAGGCUCAUGAUGAAAAUAGCGCACGAGUACAGAAAUAGAGAGUCAUAAAAGUCUACGAGCAGUUUGGAACUUGCAUCAUGAACUUUAUUUAGCAAACCCAAAUGUCUCUGAAUGGGCCCAGCCCAAGUUCCUCUACCCAAGAUGACCUUUGUCAGGAAUCCCCGGAUCACAUGAUGUCCAGAAACACGGGGCGAUAAUUCCAGGCUAUUCAUGACAUGAUGGAUGAGGUCGCCCUUAUGCCCUGAACUGCGUUUGCAGCAGUCUCACAAAGAGUAAAUGUGGCCCCUGUCUCUAUUCUCUACACCUCUUUCUCAUGGAAAUGACUGUUCGUGCAGACAAACACACACAGACACACUCACACACUGUGCGGUGGGAACAGGUCAAGGCUGCGAUCCACAAAGGGGAGGACUGACCAGUGAGAACUCUUUCAGGGAAGCUCUUGGCUUGUAUGCAUUACUCGAAGAGACUGCUAAUGAGAAAGCCAGGGGUCCUGGCCAGAAGUGUUUUUUCCACUUUCAAGGCAACAUGCCCAGAGCUAAUAAACCAGCCAACUCCAUAUGAAUGAAAAAAAGCAAAUGUUCCAUACUCAGGGUUAAAAGAGGUGAGAGCAGGCGAGAACAACCUCAGGAAAAAAAAACCUUAGGGGAAAUGUAGUUCAUUGUGAAUCACAGAACAUUUUACUAUACAAAGAGAUUUGCUGCUCAUUCAUGCCACUUAAAUAAUGUCAUUGUAAAUGUGCUUACUAACAGCAGCAAGUUAAAUGGUUUGAUUUAUAACAUGGUGCAAACUGAAGCACGAUCAUUUCUCACGGUUUGAAUCUCAUUAAGGUAAACUGAUAAACCUAUGGAGAAACAAGCCCCAAACAUGAGGAAGAACCGUUCUGAAAACAUCAGUAGUCGUUUGCCAUAAUCUCUAUCAAAGGUUAGAAUUAUUUUCAGCGAUGCAAUGUGCAAUUAUAUUUACAUGUAUGAACCACUCCUCCUGGUUCUCAUCUACUCUAGAGCAUCACCGCUAUUCAUCAAGGUUUCUCUGAGAUGUUUGUUUGACUUUGCCAAUUUCUCUAAUUGCUUUCACAUUUAAGCUGAAUGCUAACUGAAUCAAGCCAAUGGGAAAAGGUCCGCCUGACAUUCUGAUAAGAAACAGCCCAGACACUGCAGCUGAGGCAAUAGUCAUUCCUUCCCUUUGCAGACAAUGCUCGGCUCUUCUCUCCUCUCCUCCUCCUCCUUUUCUCCUCAUUACUGCGUCAGCAUUCUUGUCUCUUUGUAUUAAUUCUAGUCCAAUCACAAGAUGUUUCAGCCAUAAGGUUUUCAUUUAUAGCCAGUGACUGAACUUCCUAGAAUACACUCUCAGACAACAAAAUAUUCUACACCCAAUACAUUUAUACUUACACAUCACACACACAACAAACAUUCCAAAAGAUUAAACAUCACAUCUAUUAGUAAACAUACAUGAUGUGGUUGAAUGUCAUUCACCUCAGCGCUGCUGUCCAAGAUAUAAAAAGCACAUGUUGUAGCCUUCAGUUGUCAUUAGAAUGGGUGAUCAAACACAGGCGCCUCCAUACAGACGAUCUCCUCAUGAUGGAAAUAAAGACUUGGUUUCUUUCAAGGACACUCGUCAGUACCUUGAUGACUUGUUAGAGUUGACUGUCUUUUGCAUUAAAACUAAUUAUUAUGUUACUCAAAGACCUCUCCAAAUGCAUUUAUCUGUGACCUUGUGCCAGGCAAUAUAUUUAAUGGCAACAGAGUCAAAAACCAAAUCCUGAUUUUUGG